rnacentral:rRNA from 1 species
CCUACGGGAGGCAGCAGUGAGGAAUAUUGGUCAAUGGCCGGAAGGCUGAACCAGCCAUGCCGCGUGAAGGUCAGUGCCCUAUGGGCGUUAAACUUCUUUUGUGCGGGAGCAAUAAUGGUCACGUGUGGCCAGACGAGAGUACCGUACGAAUAAGCAUCGGCUAACUCCGUGCCCGCAGCCGCGGUAAUACGGGGGAUGCAAGCGUUAUCCGGAUUUAUUUGGUUUAAAGGGUGCGUAGGCUGUGAGGUAAGGCAGCGGUGAAAUGCCCCCGCUCAACGGGGUGAAGUGCCAUUGAUACUGCCUUGCUGGAGUGCGGAUGCGGUAGGAGGAAUGUGUGGUGUAGCGGUGAAAUGCAUAGAUAUCACACAGAACACCGAUUGCGAAGGCAUCUCACGAAUCCGCGAUUGACGCUGAUGCACGAAAGCGUGGGUAUCAAACAGGAUUAGAUACCCUGGUAGUC